rnacentral:rRNA from 1 species
GACGAACGCUGGCGGCGUGCUUAACACAUGCAAGUCGAACGGAAAGGCCCUGCUUUUGUGGGGUGCUCGAGUGGCGAGCGGGUGAGUCACACGUGUGUACCCUGCUCUAGUCUUUGGGAUAACUUCAGGACACUGGGGCUAAUACGGGAUAGGACCUCCUGCUGCAUGGUGGGGGUUGGUAUGUUUCGGGGGUGGGGGAUGGCCUCGCGGCUUAUCGGCUGGUUGGGGGGUAGUGGACUACCAAGGCUUUGGGGGGCCGCCGGGCUGGGGGGGUGACCGGCCACAUUGGGACUGGGAUCGGGCCCAGACUCCUACGGGAGGCGGCAGGGGGGAAUAUUGCACAAGGGGCGGAGGCCUAAUGCAGCAACGCCGCGUGCGGGAUGACGGCCUUCGGGUGGUAAACCGCUUUCGCCUGUAACGAAGCGUGAGUGACGGUACUGGGUAAAGAAGCACCGGCUAACUACGUG